UCGAGAAGAGAGAGUGGUGACGACCCUCCUCUGCCAAAGACGACGACCAAACCCCCACUUCUUUCUCUUUCGAUGGCCUUGCUUGUAGGGUUGUAGGGUUCCACCAUGGAAGGAGGUAGAUCGAAAACGGAGACCAAAAGGACCGAUAGCAAGCUUUCGGUGAAGAGAGGUGCUCCGAGCGAGAGUGUUUUUGUAGCCGCCGUGAGUGUUUUCACCUCAUUUGUUUUAUAGAUUUCUGAUUUGUGGAUUUUGUUCAAGUUUGAUUUCGGGUUGGCUCUGGUUGCCCUCCUCUGUCUCUGAACUGGAUCGAAACUAAUUCAGGCUGGUGAAUUUCUUUCUAAGCUUGACCCAAAGACUUGAAAAUUUUGUCCAGUCCCAAUUUUUUUUUAGGCUAUGCUCAACCUACCCAAGUUGCAAUCAUAUUUAGCACAAAAUGUAUGCAAAAGAUGUGUGGAUCCAAGUUAGGGAUGUUAUGUUUUUAAACCACUAAUGAAGAAAGAGGAUAGUUAGAAGGAGAGAGAGAAGGGAAAAAAGUAGAGAACAAAAAAGAAAAAGGGGGAAGGCAUGGAGGAAAUUUGGUCAAAAGCCACUUCUUCUCCACCACACACACACACAUACACACAAAAAAAAAAAAAAGAAGCUUUGUAAUUGUUGGAGCAUAACAUAAUGUGGUAAAUACCUCCCCUGUUACCUUGAGAAUGACAAUUGCACCUGUACUCUUAAUGCAAUGUAUGUAAGAAUGUCAUUCUAUAAUUUUUCUUUUUGAAUAGAUAGAAUACUAUUCUAUAAAUAAUUAUGAUAAAUAGCUCGGGUUAUGUUAUAUUCUGUACUCUCUAGUCCAUGAAGCAUUGGUAGCUAAAUGUUUAAAUAUAAUUUCUUGAAAACACAUCCAGUUUAUAUUGAGUUAUUAGUAUUCUUAUCUAGUGCAUGUUUCCCUUCAUUUAAUUGUUUUGCAAUAAUAUAGAGGUAUGUUGAAGAUGACAAGAAUGCUUUUUAUUUCCGUAUCUCACGAAGAAUGGAAUUUAUGACUUUUGGAAUUGGUUUGAUGAUCGGACCUGGUAUCCUCUUGGACGUGUGAUUGGUGGAACUGUUUACCCUGGAUUGACAUUGACAGCUGGCACCAUGUGGUGGAUACUGAAUUCUUUGAAUAUUCCUCUGUCUGUGGAAACUGUUUGUGUAUUUACGGCUCCAGUAUUCUCUGCUAUUGCUGCAUGGGCAACCUACCUUCUCACAAAGUUUCA